rnacentral:rRNA from 1 species
GACAGGUGGUGCAUGGUUGUCGUCAGCUCGUGUCGUGAGAUGUUGGGUUAAGUCCCGCAACGAGCGCAACCCUUAAGCUUAGUUGCCAUCAUUAAGUUGGGCACUCUAAGUUGACUGCCGGUGACAAACCGGAGGAAGGUGGGGAUGACGUCAAAUCAUCAUGCCCCUUAUGAUUUGGGCUACACACGUGCUACAAUGGACAAUACAAAGGGCAGCGAAACCGCGAGGUCAAGCAAAUCCCAUAAAGUUGUUCUCAGUUCGGAUUGUAGUCUGCAACUCGACUACAUGAAGCUGGAAUCGCUAGUAAUCGUAGAUCAGCAUGCUACGGUGAAUACGUUCCCGGGUCUUGUACACACCGCCCGUCACACCACGAGAGU